CCUACGGGAGGCAGCAGUGGGGAAUUUUGGACAAUGGGGGCAACCCUGGUCCAGCCAUGCCGCGUGCGGGAAGAAGGCCUUCGGGUUGUAAACCGCUUUCGGCCGGAACGAAAUCGCCCGGGUGAACAUCCCGGGUGGAUGACGGUACCGGAAGAAGAAGCACCGGCUAACUACGUGCCAGCAGCCGCGGUAAUACGUAGGGUGCGAGCGUUAAUCGGAAUUACUGGGCGUAAAGCGUGCGCAAGCGGUCUCGUAAGACAGGUGUGAAAUCCCCGGGCUUAACCUGGGAACUGCGCUUGUGACUGCGAGGCUGGAGUGCGGAAGAGGGAGGUGGAAUUCCACGUGUAGCAGUGAAAUGCGUAGAGAUGUGGAGGAACACCGAUGGCGAAGGCAGCCUCCUGGUCCAGCACUGACGCUCAUGCACGAAAGCGUGGGGAGCAAACAGGAUUAGAUACCCUGGUAGUCCACGCCCUAAACGAUGACGACUAGUUGUUGGGGUAGAAGUACCUUAGUAACGCAGCUAACGCGUGAAGUCGUCCGCCUGGGGAGUACGGUCGCAAGAUUAAAACUCAAAGGAAUUGACGG
rnacentral:rRNA from 1 species